GACAGAGGGUGCAAACGUUGUUCGGAUUUACUGGGCGUAAAGCGCGUGUAGGCGGCUUACAAGUCGGAUGUGAAAGCCCACGGCUCAACCGUGGAAGUGCAUCCGAAACUGUAUCGCUGGAGUCCCGGAGAGGAAGGUGGAAUGCUUGGUGUAGAGGUGAAAUUCGUAGAUAUCAAGCAGAACACCUGCGGCGAAGGCGGCCUUCGUGGACGGUGACUGACGCUGAGACGCGAAAGCGUGGGAGCA
rnacentral:rRNA from 1 species